rnacentral:misc_RNA from 1 species
AAACUGCGAUAAGCAAUGCGAAACGCAGUUACUCGUGAGUCAUCCGGUAUUCGAACGCACAUGGCAGGUCCUCGGACCUACGUCUGGUUGAGGGUCAUUUUUACUCCAUUUCGAUGGGAUGUGAGUGGGCCCUUGGCUCACUUCAAAGGCAAGGUGACUUGCACCGUAACCGUUUGGUGGACAAUCGAGCGGGCAAUGGUAUGCAGGCGCUGGCUGGUAAGCAGUUAGCAAUUCACUCUUGACCUCAACUCAGACGAGACUACCCGCUGAACUUAA